GGGGCGGGGAGGAAAGCGCUUGGGAGGAGCCGAGGGCUCCUCGCGAAAGUGCCCGCAGCGCCUGGAAGCGUCCAAAGGCCCCAAUGCCGGGAGAAGACGAGGAGGCCUCACGGGGAACCACGACGACUCCUGUGAUGACGCAAUAGUCAUGCAAAAUUAUACAUAUAUAUUUAAACUUCAUCCGGAAGGCAAGAUCCAUCUCAUCGGCCUCUAAGUGCACAGCAGAACUAGAAACCAGGAAGAAAAGACGAGAGGGCUCAAAAAAAUAUUUUUUUGAAGGCGCGAGGGGUGAUGGAGGGGGUGGGCGGAGGGAGGUGGUCCUUGAGCUGAAAAGUAGGUACUCCAGGUUUAUUGCUUGAGCCCCCUUCCCAUCACCCAUGUCGUCCACAGCAGAAGUUUGAAUCAUUUACUAUGAAACCGGUGACUAAGGGUGUUACAGCAUCCUGAAUCACUGAAGCCCCCACAAUCUACCAGAAAAGGGAGACAUAAACUGCCGACUCUGGAUGAGACCAAUGAUUAGAAAAUGCUGUGCUGAGAGACAGCAGAGGUCAGCUGGACCAUCUUCCUUAGAUCUCUCGUCCAUUGUAGAUAAGGCUUUGUGUCUUUAUCCGAAUGGAAUCCAGGCAGAUUUUGAGCCCUUAUCCAGAUCACCCAAUCUGUGAGUGACAUCAGGACUGAAACCUGAACAAAGUCUGAAGCACUUCUCAGGACACCAAGCUGCUUACCUAUCGAGGCAUCUGAAGCCAAGAAGGAGACCUUUUAUUUCAGGGGCAGCCUGUUUCCCACCCUCAGAGGUUCCUGGUAUGAAGAGAGAGAAGUGGGUCCUGCCUUGGAGGCAUUACCAUCCCAUGACAUCCCGUGACCACCCAGUUCAUGGGACAUGCUCAUUAAGCAUUAGUCAUAGAAACUGCUUAUAUAUUGCAUAACUAGAAUCUUAGACUACUCUCACUCACCCCCAGCCCCCUCCCCCACCCUGCUUAGUAAAGGCCUGCUCUGGAGGGUGAGUACUUUAAAAGGUGGAUAAAAAGGGACCUUCCAAGGGUCGGCUUGAGUAACAACAGAUGGUUACUUAACGGCUUUCUGAAGAGAGUGGAUUCAGUUAACUUGACGCCAGUGUUUCUAAAAUGUUUUGUACUGCAAAUCACAGCAACAAAUAGUUUUUAUUGUGAAUCAGAAUACAUACAUAUGUACAUGUUAUGUAUAUGUGUAUAUAUAUAGUUGUACAUGUAUACAUCUAUACAUAUACAUAUAACAAAUUAGAGUUUGACUGUCCAACAUUUAACUUUACCACCUGUAAUUAACUCUAAAUUUUCUAUUCCAUUUGGUUACAUGGCCCAUACUUUGGAACUCCACUGUAGGAUUCUGUUUGCUAGAUGGCUACCUGGCUUGCAGCUGGAGGUGAGUGCUCAGGACCACAGAGGGAUAAAGAAUUCCUACAAUUCAAUAACAACAAUGACAGCAACGAACAACCUGAUUAAAAAAUGGGCAAAGAACUUGAAUAGGCAUUUUGCCAAAGAAGAUAUACAAAUGGCCAAUAAGCCCAUGAAAAGAUGCUCAACAUCAGUAAUCAUUAGGGAAAUACAAAUCAAAACUACAAUGAGAUGUACCACCACUUUGUACUUAUUAGGAUAGCUAUUAUCAAAAAAAAAAAAAAAAAAAAGAACAAAAAACACAAA